UAAAUCACUCAAAUUAGGAAGAACACCAAAAAAGAACAAAUAGACUCUAACUUGCAAGUUUGGAUCACAAUAUACUAAAAUGAGAAGCAACAAGUAUCGCAAAUUGAAGAAUGAAUCAAAUUCAGUCAUGGAACUGACAAUUAUCAUUGCUAAAGCCUAAAACUCAUCAGACCACCACCAACUUGUAAACAUGGAACAUACUGUAGACAUUUAAACUAAUCUGCGAACAUUUGACAUAUCACCAGAAUUUAUCAACUACAUCACCCAAAGUUAAAUCCAUCUCAAAUUCUCAUUCAGAGCACAAGUAUACCACCUAUUACAGCAACUACUGCUUGCUAAACUUCAAUA
rnacentral:misc_RNA from 1 species